AGUGAACGCUGGCGGUAGGCCUAACACAUGCAAGUCGAACGGCAGCACAGUAAGAGCUUGCUCUUACGGGUGGCGAGUGGCGGACGGGUGAGGAAUACAUCGGAAUCUACUUUUUCGUGGGGGAUAACGUAGGGAAACUUACGCUAAUACCGCAUACGACCUACGGGUGAAAGCAGGGGAUCUUCGGACCUUGCGCGAUUGAAUGAGCCGAUGUCGGAUUAGCUAGUUGGCGGGGUAAAGGCCCACCAAGGCGACGAUCCGUAGCUGGUCUGAGAGGAUGAUCAGCCACACUGGAACUGAGACACGGUACAGACUCCUACGGGAGGCAGCAGUGGGGAAUAUUGGACAAUGGGAGCAAGCCUGAUCCAGCCAUACCGCGUGGGUGAAGAAGGCCUUCGGGUUGUAAAGCCCUUUUGUUGGGAAAGAAAAGCAGCAGGUUAAUACCCCGCUGUUCUGACGGUACCCAAAGAAUAAGCACCGGCUAACUUCGUG
rnacentral:rRNA from 1 species